rnacentral:tRNA from 1 species
GCCUGGAUGGCUCAGUCAGUUAAGCAUCGGACUUUGGAUCAGGUCAUGAUCUCAUGGUCUGUGAGUUCGAGUCCCACAUCAGGCU